AUUGCAAUGAUGAUCUUCUAAUGUGUAAGAAGAUCCUUUCAACUGUUUGGGCCCUCAAUAAAAUAUACUUGUUGUUAUGCUUGGCUUUGAAGCUUU